GGGCGUAUAGCUCAGUGGUAGAGCAUUCGACUGCAGAUCGGGUGUCCCCGGUUCAAACCCGGGUGUCCCCU
rnacentral:tRNA from 1 species